rnacentral:rRNA from 1 species
GAUGAACGCUGGCGGCGUGCCUAAUACAUGCAAGUCGAGCGAACAGACGAGGAGCUUGCUCCUCUGACGUUAGCGGCGGACGGGUGAGUAACACGUGGAUAACCUACCUAUAAGACUGGGAUAACUUCGGGAAACCGGAGCUAAUACCGGAUAAUAUAUUGAACCGCAUGGUUCAAUAGUGAAAGACGGUUUUGCUGUCACUUAUAGAUGGAUCCGCGCCGCAUUAGCUAGUUGGUAAGGUAACGGCUUACCAAGGCAACGAUGCGUAGCCGACCUGAGAGGGUGAUCGGCCACACUGGAACUGAGACACGGUCCAGACUCCUACGGGAGGCAGCAGUGGGGAAUCUUCCACAAUGGGCGAAAGCCUGACGGAGCAACGCCGCGUGAGUGAUGAAGGUCUUCGGAUCGUAAAACUCUGUUAUUGGGGAAGAACAAAUGUGUAAGUAACUAUGCACGUCUUGACGGUACCUAAUCAGAAAGCCACGGCUAACUACGUG